CGCAUCUAAUACAACUUUCAACAACGGAUCUCUUGGCUCUCGCAUCGAUGAAGAACGCAGCGAAAUGCGAUAAGUAAUGUGAAUUGCAGAAUUCAGUGAAUCAUCGAAUCUUUGAACGCACCUUGCGCCCCUUGGUAUUCC
rnacentral:rRNA from 1 species